rnacentral:rRNA from 1 species
AGAGUUUGAUCAUGGCUCAGGACGAACGCUGGCGGCGCGCCUAACACAUGCAAGUCGAACGGAGUCAAGAGGAGCUUGCUUUUCUUGACUUAGUGGCGGACGGGUGAGUAACGCGUGAGUAACCUGCCCUGGAGUGGGGGACAACAGUUGGAAACGACUGCUAAUACCGCAUAAGCCCACGGCCCGGCAUCGGGCUGAGGGAAAAGGAUUUAUUCGCUUCAGGAUGGACUCGCGUCCAAUUAGCUAGUUGGUGAGGUAACGGCCCACCAAGGCGACGAUUGGUAGCCGGACUGAGAGGUUGAACGGCCACAUUGGGACUGAGACACGGCCCAGACUCCUACGGGAGGCAGCA